rnacentral:rRNA from 1 species
UACGUAGGGUGCAAGCGUUGUCCGGAAUUAUUGGGCGUAAAGAGCUCGUAGGUGGUCUGUUGCGUCGGCUGUGAAAACCCGGGGCUCAACCCCGGGCCUGCAGCCGAUACGGGCAGACUAGAGUUCGGCAGGGGAGACUGGAAUUCCUGGUGUAGCGGUGAAAUGCGCAGAUAUCAGGAGGAACACCGGUGGCGAAGGCGGGUCUCUGGGCCGAAACUGACACUGAGGAGCGAAAGCGUGGGGAGCGAACAGG